UACGUAGGGUGCAAGCGUUAAUCGGAAUUACUGGGCGUAAAGCGUGCGCAGGCGGUUUUGUAAGUCUGUCGUGAAAGCCCCGGGCUUAACCUGGGAAUUGCGAUGGAGACUGCAAGGCUUGAAUCUGGCAGAGGGGGGUAGAAUUCCACGUGUAGCAGUGAAAUGCGUAGAGAUGUGGAGGAACACCGAUGGCGAAGGCAGCCCCCUGGGUCGAUACUGACGCUCAUGCACGAAAGCGUGGGGAGCAAACAGG
rnacentral:rRNA from 1 species